UUUAACGAGAGUUUGAUCCUGGCUCAGGAUGAACGCUGGCGGCGUGCUUAACACAUGCAAGUCGAGCGAAGCACCUUGACGGAUUUCUUCGGAUUGAAGCCUUGGUGACUGAGCGGCGGACGGGUGAGUAACGCGUGGGUAACCUGCCUCAUACAGGGGGAUAACAGUUGGAAACGGCUGCUAAUACCGCAUAAGCGCACAGUACCGCAUGGUACGGUGUGAAAA
rnacentral:rRNA from 1 species